GCUCAGGACGAACGCUGGCGGCGCGCCUAACACAUGCAAGUCGAACGAGCGAGAGAGAGCUUGCUUUCUCAAGCGAGUGGCGAACGGGUGAGUAACGCGUGAGGAACCUGCCUCAAAGAGGGGGACAACAGUUGGAAACGACUGCUAAUACCGCAUAAGCCCACGGGUCGGCAUCGACCAGAGGGAAAAGGAGCAAUCCGCUUUGAGAUGGCCUCGCGUCCGAUUAGCUAGUUGGUGAGGUAAUGGCCCACCAAGGCAACGAUCGGUAGCCGGACUGAGAGGUUGAACGGCCACAUUGGGACUGAGACACGGCCCAGACUCCUACGGGAGGCAGCAGUA
rnacentral:rRNA from 1 species